rnacentral:sRNA from 1 species
AAUGCAUUUGCUUUCAGCCGCAGAGAGAAGAAGCUGCCCAAGAAUGGAAAGGAAGAAAUAUAUCACAUCAUCUGUCUGUCCACAGGCUUUCCUUGGGGCUUAUGAAGUGAAUGAAGGAGGGAAGAAAGGAGAGGCAGAGAGAAUAUGGAUUUCCUCAUGGUUGUGAUUCCUCUUCACUCUUUUGAAUUUGGAAGGACGGCAUACACAUCUGAAAAACACCACUACUUCCUUCAUUGGACUGCAAGGUAUUUCUGUUUGGAAAAGUAAUGGAGUCCAGUCAACUUCAUUGAUCUCCAAGGACUGUCAAAAUUAUAAAACUUGCUGUGGAGCUCUGACAUGCCAGAAGCCGCUAGAAAAAGAAGUUUGACAUUCAGAAACUUAUCAAGAGGUUCUACUCUUUGGAUAGAGACCAAAAUAAUACUUUGAAAAAGCCUGACAGGUUUCUUCGGAAAAGUGGCCAUCCAUGGAAUGAAUGAAAUGUUCUCUUUCUAUUCCAGGGAUUGCAGUGGCAAAGCUAGGCUAGGUCUUGGAGGCUGGUGUAAGGCGAUGCGGGUGAAGGCAGGAGGCUGAUGGAAAGACUGGGGGGAAGAAAAGCCGAAAUGGAUUCACGGUGCCUUGGAUGAAGGACGAGAGGGGAACUGCAAGCUCCUUCAACUGGUUCUGUCCGGUGAGAAGUGAUCAAGCUUGGGCUGACAAGAGGCUCAGGGAGCCCUCACGUUCUUUCGCUUUUUUACCUGCCAAUCAAACUGCUACAAGACAACACCCUGAUCUGGCAUGGACAUAUCCAACUUAGAAAUAAUGUUUCAUUCAAGAUAAGGCUCGUGAUUUAGGAGAUUGUGACCUGGCUUGCAUCAUUCUAAGACUUCUAUCAUCUGUUUUCAAAACCCAAGGAGGACCUCAUUUUCUGUGUGAUAGUUCCUCAUGCUUUGCCAGCCACUGUGUCUUUAAGGAAGCUUGCCAAGAGUUCCUGGCUGGGAAGGACAGUUCGAGUUCAUCAUAGACAAUGAGCUGGCACCACAUUUUAAGUGACUCACCAACCUGGUUGCCCACUUCAAAAUGUCAAGAACCACACUAUCUAAUUGAAAGAACUGUGUUUUAGCAAAGUGUAAUUGGAUCACCUGGCAAGAUCAUCUCAAACUGUGUCUCUGACCUUGCCUUUCAGUGGCUGUUUUGAGCACAAGAGGAGAAAGGAAAUGAUUCCUGAAUUAUAUCUUGUUUUUAAAAAUUAAGAUUAAUUAA